UUUCCGUAGGUGAACCUGCGGAAGGAUCAUUACAGUAGUCACCCAGGUUGCCGCAAGGCCUCCUGGGUAACCUACCACCCUUUGUUUAUUACACUUUGUUGCUUUGGCAAGCCUGCCCUCGGGCUGCUGGCUCCAGCCGGCGAGCGCUUGCCAGAGGACCUAAACUCUGUUUGUCUAUACUGUCUGAGUACUAUAUAAUAGUUAAAACUUUCAACAACGGAUCUCUUGGUUCUG
rnacentral:misc_RNA from 1 species